rnacentral:rRNA from 1 species
GGGGAAUCUUGCACAAUGGGCGAAAGCCUGAUGCAGCGACGCCGCGUGCGGGAAGGAGGCCCUCGGGUCGUAAACCGCUUUCAGCAGGGACGAGGCCGCGAGGUGACGGUACCUGCAGAAGAAGCCCCGGCUAACUACGUGCCAGCAGCCGCGGUAAUACGUAGGGGGCGAGCGUUAUCCGGAUUCAUUGGGCGUAAAGCGCGCGUAGGCGGCCAGCUAGGUCGGGAGUCAAAUCCGGGGGCUCAACCCCCGCCCGCUCCCGAUACCGGCCGGCUUGAGUCUGGCAGGGGAAGGCGGAAUUCCCGGUGUAGCGGUGGAAUGCGCAGAUAUCGGGAAGAACACCGGUGGCGAAGGCGGCCUUCUGGGCCACGACUGACGCUGAGGCGCGAAAGCUGGGGGAGCGAAC